AUGUAUCUUGUGAAAUUAAUCUAUCUUUUGUGAAAUUAAUCUGUCUCUAUCUCAGGUGUGAUUUACCACUUCAGCAACAAGAGCUGAUUCUGCUCUCAAAACCACUUGAGUUUGUGGAAAAAUACAAAGUCAAAACAGAACCAAUUUUUUCCUGGGAUUGUUCCAGCAUGGGUUUUCUGCAAGUUUCAUCUUUGAAAGAGUCUUCAAAAGUGUCUGCUUGCUUUAUUACAUUAUGGGUAAACUUUCCAUGUGAGGAUGAAGUAAAAACGUGUUUUCAGAAAUUGUGAACCCAAUUCUUGAAUAAAAGAGAAUUUGCAGGGGGAGAAUUCUGGCUGUUUGGACUGUAUUUGCUGCCUGAACCUCCAUCCCUGUUUUGCCUAAGGAAAGAUAUAGCAGGUUGGAUGGAAAAAACCUGUGGAGUGAACCUGAGCCACAAGCUGCCAGUUGGACUUUGAGGACUGGAUUAUUGAGAAUGGCAAGUGAUGCAAAGCGAAAAAUAUAGAUAAAUUCAGAAUACUGCUUGGUGUGACAGAGGAAAGUUAAAUCUCAUAGUGAAAGUGUAAUGAUGGUGAACAACUAAGGAGCAUAAGAUAUUGUGAAGAUGCCUGGCAUCCUAGUGAUUAGAAAGGCAAUAUCUCCUGAAGUAUUCUCACUUAAAAUAGAUUAGCUGUUUAUUAGGUGUGGUGUAUGCAGUUUGAGAAAUGCACAGGAAGAAUUACUUUUCUACUUCAUAAGCUCAUUCCCUUGUUAUUCACUAACCUGUUGUCAUCCCUACAGGCUCCAGCCCAGACCUCUCAUUAAUCACAGUUGGAGAGCUUUGUAGUUCUCACACCAGGGGAAGGAGCUGAGUUUGUAGUUCCCAGCAAUCUUCUUUAUGCUCCUCUAUUCUUGACCAAACAUCUUAUUUCUGGUGGAGUGCGGAUACCAUCAGUGAUAAUGCUUGCAUCUAAAUGGGCAAAGAAACUUCAGCAAUGGUGUUACUUAAAUUUCUUUUGUAAACAAAAAGAGAAAAGCACAUUUUUGCAAAACAGACAAGUGCAAAAAUGCUGAAAGUUCUUCGGUGAUGAUACAAAGCAACAUGCAGAACUAGGUACAUUCUGCUCCCAGCUGCUCUGAAAGUCCUGGAUGACAAAGUUCAAUUCAAGUUGCUCUAGAUUUUCACUAGUGCAAGGAAGAGCAAAAUCUAGCACAUUUUAAAAAUCUUUUGCCUUCCUUAUGAUACCAAAAUUUGAAGAGAAAAACAUUCUGUUUUCAUAUCUUAGAAAAUCCUGAUUGUGCAGAAUUCUGCAUACAGAGCUGGAGCCUGGAGCACAGCAGGUGCAGAUAUAUGCUUCUAAUAAUAUUGGGAUCUUAGAUUUUUUUCUUGUUAAUUGAACUAAAUACUGUUAAAAGAUUGUAUCAGUAUGUGUAUAAUACUGUUUCUUUAAAAUACCUAGUGUUUCAAAGCAACAGUAUUAUUAUGAGACCCUGCCUAAAUACAGGAUGUUUCAAAAAGAUCCAGCAUGUUACAAUUACACAAAGAUUUACAAAGGGUUCAAUGAGUUAUCAAGUUUUAGUGACCUUUUUAUAAAUGCUCUAUGUUCCCUCCACGUGCUGUACGGACUAUAAGAGUUUCAUUAACGGGUGGUUUGUGGUUGCAAAGAUAUAGUGAUUUCAAAAUAGGUCCGUCUUUUUGAAACAGUCUGUAGAACUGGGAUACAAACAGAAAAUAAAAUAAAACAUGUAUUUUUCUUGAAAGGUCUGCAUUUUUUAAGCUCAGAUCUGUGACCUUCCUAGAAAGGCAUUUACAAAGACAAUGGUAAAUUGAGGAUAUUCCAUGUUAUAAGAGGUCAGUUCUUUCAUUUGUAUGACUGUUCCUCCAAAAACUUUUAAAAGUUUCACAAUAAACUCAGUCAAGAGGCUUUUAUAUUAAAA